GUUAUCGACACAUCCGAUAAGCCAGUUAAAUCUAAUGUUUUACCAGCUGGUACAGCCAGGUUUUCUAUGGUGAUAUCAUUACAAGAGGAUUUAAUUGCGUCAAGUUCGUCUAUUGACUUUCCCGUUAAAGUGCACGAUGUCGCCCUGUUCGAGGGAUCACUAAAAACUGUUGCGGAAGUUAUUUCUGAUGCUGCAACAGCUACCACACCCAAA